UGGAUUCGUUACUGCUGAACCACAACAGGAACUCUGGUAAAUAAUAUUUAUAACCAGAAAUGUGCAUACCUCUUCUUCUUUAAUAAUAUGGGUGAUUGAAUCAAUCUAAUCAAGAGUUGAGUUGAGUUUGGAUUUUCUUAUUAACAUUACCCUUGUUAUACCAUGGGAAUCAAGUUCUUCUGGUAUUACCUCUUGCAGUGUGGGGCCUGGAGCGCUGGAGAAUUUCUCACAGUAUCCCUCAGCUUUCAGCAGUCUUUGCAUCCUCUAUUAUGGAGGGAUUUCUCCUCACACCCUUUUUCCUCCUCAGCAGACACUAAUGUCAUUUGUUACUGGUGCUUGGCUUGUAGUAGGGCAAGAGGGUUUUUCUAUACCCCUGGUCUUAGUUGCGUCCCGUUACCUGAGCCUUAAAGGUGGGUGUUCCUCAGUAUUUCUGCCACUCUUACCCAUUGCUGCCAAAUCCUGCCUUGUAUCUGUGGGGUGUCUUGAGUGAAACUGGGUUUCCCAGCAGUUGCCAACCUCUACUUUAUGUCAUUUUAGGACACUGAGCCCCGUUGUUUCCUGUUGCUCCUCUUGAGGGGGUGAGAGUUUGUACUUCUUUCUCUCCUCCAGAAGCAGGGCUCUUUUGGUGUUGGUAUUUUCUCCCCCUCUCCCAGUGACUUAAGGUUUUCAUAGAGGGAGAAGUUUGGGAAGGUUAGGUGUGAUUUCAUAUUUGUCCUCCAAUGACAGAACUGUUGCCUUCUAAGAUUCUGUUAACUCUGGGAAAAUAUUUAUUGCUGUCCUAUAGAGAAAAAUGUGGUAUUUUGUUUUAGCUUCUUUACUAAAAAGCUAAAGAUAUUUAUUAAGGAAAUGCUACAUGAAUAGCACUUUAAAUAUUAAUUUAAUACACUGCUUACUCUUUUAUUUCUCUACCAGAUACAGAUGUAGGAAAACACAUUUGUCAUUCAAGAAUAUACCUGUUUCUCUUAACCAUGUUUCGUAGUGCCAUUCAAAAUUAAACUAAAUCAAAAUGAACAUUAACUAGGAAAAAAUAGUUGUGCAAGAGGCAAGUGCACACCUCACACUGGAAUCCGGGGCUCUGCCACUUCUCUGGAGAUAGUUUACAAGGUCAGACAAGGUGAGAGUUCACAUAAUGACAGUUUAUUUGUCAAAAUCAUCCCCCUCAAGAGUACUUUAGAAGAUUUCUGAAUGUUCUAAAAGACAUUAUGGGUGUACACAUGGCACCAAGGGUUUGAAGGCAGUUGGUUAAAUCUUACUUUGAAGCCAGGGAAAGUCUAGUGAGUUCUACUCAAACCUUUGGGGAAAAUGAGGCUGAGUUAUUUUUAGAGGAUGAUUUCUGUCACAAAUGGAUUCUCUGAACCUUCUCUGUACCUUACCAGAAGCCCAAAAUUAGAAAAGAGGAAAUGACCUUUAGUUCUAGUGAAUGUUUAAUAUGAAAUACUGAAUCACAUUAGUGGGUUCCCAGGGGCUUGAGGAGGGUCUAUGCUUUAAAAAUAAAAAAGAACAGAAAGAAAGAAAAAAAGUACUGUAAAUAGUAUUUAAGACUACAAGUUCUGAAUUAAUUAUCAAUAUUAAAGCCAUUUAAGAUAUUUUUUCUGUUUUACUGAGAUAAAACUGACAUAUAAUAUUGUAUGUUUCAGGGGUACAAUAUGAUGUGUGUGUGUGUGUGUGUGUGUAUAUAUAUAUAUAUAUAUAUAUAUAUAUAGCAAAUAUCGUACGUUUAACAUCCAUUUCCAGACAUUUUUUUAUGAGAACUUUUAAGAUCAACACUUUAAAAUAUGCAUUACGGUACUGGGGUUUUGUUUUAUUUUUGUUUUGUUUGCUUCCCAGGCUAGGGGUCCAAUUGGAGUUACCGGCCUACAGCACAGCUCACAACAAGACGGAUCCUUAAUCCACUGAGCGAGGCCAGGGAUCGAAGCCAGACCUCAUGAUUCCUAGUCAGAUUGGUUUCCGCUUCACCGGGAAAGGAACUCCAGUUACAAUAUUGCUGACUUUAGUCCCCUUUACAACCCCAGAACUUACUUACUUAUUUAUCUUACAACUAGAAGUCUGCACCUUUUGACCACCUCCACCCAGUUCUCUCACCUCCCCAUCCCCUCCCUCUGGCAACCACCAAUCUGUUCUCCCUAUCUUUUUAAAAAAACACACAUACACACAAGCUAAUUUUGAGGAAUAUGUUAUAUUGUUUAGGGAACGUUUUGCAUGCUCUUUCAUCUGAAACGUGAAGUCAAUGCUGUUAAGCAACCAAAUCGACAAUUUGUUGCUGUUACAAACGAGAAAAAAUAAACUGAUUUUAUUUCUAAAAAGGGGGUUGCUGAAGGGCCUUCGCCUUCCUGGGCUGUCCUCACCAGCACACUGAAAACUAAGCCCUAAAACCCCGCAGGUCACGGGCCAGGAAAGUUUAGGCACAAUUCACAGAGGAAGGGACCCCUCCUCCCUACAACCUCCAGAGUUACCCCGGGCUCAGGCUCCGGGGCAGGACGGGGCGGGGCCCGGAGGCAGGAGGGGCCGGGAGAGAGGGCGGGCGCUCGCCGACCGCUGCUGGCUCUUCCCUUUGCGAGGUGAGGCGGGACUUCUGCAGUUGCCGCGCAGGCCUCCCCGAGCCCUGGUCUCUUCCUGGGCCCCGCGCCAUUUCUGCUCCUCUCGGCCGAGCGCCCCCUUCACCUUCCCACCCCAACCCUCACCCCCCCAGUGCUCGGGCCGCGCGCAGCUAACCCCCUGGCAGGAUGCGGCCGUUCCCAGGGACGUGCUGGCUGCUUCUCUGGCUGCCUCCUCUGGCCGUGCCGUCCGGGGGCGCGGCGCGCGGGGAGGAGGAGGAGGCGGCGUCAGCAGCGGCAGCGUUGUCAGGUUGGAGAGACCAAGGGGCUACAAAUACCACAUAGAAGAAUUUACUGGUCAUAGAAUGUAACCAACUAUCAUUAUUCCUGUGAAUAAAAAAGAAAGAAGACUCUGGGGAGUUAUAUACUUAGGAAAUAUAUUCCCUUUUCCAUUUCUCAGUUCCAAGGUGUAAAGCUUUGAAGGAAAUGGAUUUAAUUAAAACUUCUCAGUCAGACUGUUACUGCUACAAUCAAAAUUCCCAAAUGAAAUGGAAGUAUAUUUGGUCAACUGUGCAGGUGAAAAUUACCAGCUCAGGCCUGCUCAGUAUUGUGUAUAUCACGGAAAGACAUAAUUGCCAGUACCCAGAAACCAUUCUGUCUGUUAUCAAAUGUGUGAUUCAUAACUUUUGGACACCAAAGGAGUCUAAUGAUAUAACCAUAACCAUCAAUCCAUAUGGGGAGACUGUGUGCUUCUCUGUGAAGCCUGCCAGGAAGAUGUUUAUCUAUACAAUAAGUGUGAAUCGAAACAUUGUGGAUUUCAAACUCUUCCUCAUAUUUGUAGCGGGCGUUUUCCUCUUUUUUUAUGCAAAAACCUUAAGUCAAAGCCCUGUUUUCUAUUACUCUUCGGGGACUGUGCUAGGUAUUCUAAUGACAUUAGUCUUUGUCCUGCUGUUGGUGAAAAGAUUCAUUCCUAAGGUAAGUAUACUAUGUGCAAAUGAAUAAAAAUGGAAAUCAUGCUCUCAUAAGCAUGAAAAGAUCAAAAUGAAUUCAUGUUCAUUAUGAUAGUUCCUAAUUCAAACUGUAUUUCUUCACUGUAUUAAACUGGCUUAAAAUAUCUUUUUGUAGAGAUUCCAUUCUCAUUUGUUACUGUGUGUAAGUGUAAGUAUUAAGUUUUGGUGAUACUUUUUUUGAGACUCUUUUAUUUUCUAGGUAAUAUAUUUUUCUUAUGAGUGCCAGGGGUUCCUUUUAUGCUGAGUGAAAAUUUCUUUUGGCAUAGCUGAGGAACAUCGUGAUGCUGAACCAUCAGGGCUUUGAAUAAUAGCAUUGCUACAUCUGGGGAUUUCUUCAUUAUUAUUAGUUCCCCAAAACACCUUCGGUAGAACAAUGUUCUGUACUUAGUCAAAGAUACAUAAAUAUUAGAUCAUGAUGCUAUUUUUUAGUUACUGUGAUGAAAGCCUGCCACACAAGCAUUAGUUUGAGAUAAAUUUAUUCUUUAGAAUGGCACUUCUCCUACAUCAACAUUCAUGCAGGUCACGUAGGGGUUCCUCUUGAAAUGUAGACUGGUUGAGGAGUCUGCAGUGGGCCUGAGAGUCUGUCUUCCAGCAGGCUCCCAGGUGACAUUGAAGCUGCUUGUGCGUAUACCAUAUCUGGAAGAGUAUUCUGAAUUUUUUUAAUUUUUAAUGAUUUUUAUUUUUUCCAUCAUAGCUGGUCUACAGUGUUCUAUAAGCAAGGUGACCCAGUUACACAUACAUGUAUACAUUCUUUUUUCUCACAUUAUCAUGCUCAAUCGUAAGUGACUAGAUAUAGUUACCAGUGCUACACAGCAGGAUCUCAUUGCUUAUCCACUCCAAAGGCAAUAGUUUGCAUCUAUUAACCCCAAAUUCCCUUCCCCCUUGGCAACUACAAGUCUGUUCUCCAAGUCCAUGAUUUUCUCUUCUGUGGAAAAGUUCAUUUGUGCUAUAUAUUAGAUUCCAGAUCUAAGUGAUAUCUUAUGGUAUUUGUCUUUCUCUUUCUGACUUCCUUCACUUAAUAUGAGAGUCUCUGAUUCCAUCCAUGUUGCUGCAAAUGGUAUUUUUUUUAUGGCUGAGUAGUAUUCCAUUGUGUAUAUAUACCACAUCUUCUUAAUCUGUUCAUCUGUCGAUGGACAUUUAGGUUGUUUCCAUGCCUUGGCUAUUGUGAAUAGUGCUGCAGUGAGCACACGGGUGCAUGUGUCUUUUUUUUUUUUUUUUGUCUUUUGUUGUUGUUGUUGUUGCUAUUUCUUGGGCCGCUCCCGCGGCAUAUGGAGGUUCCCAGGCUAGGGGUCCAAUCGGAGCUGUAGCCACCGGCCUACACCAGAGCCACAGCAACGCGGGAUCCGAGCCACGUCUGCAACCUACACCACAGCUCACGGCAACGCCGGAUCGUUAACCCACUGAGCAAGGGCAGGGACCGAACCCGCAACCUCAUGGUUCCUAGUCGGAUUCGUUAACCACUGCGCCAUGACGGGAACUCCUGCAUGUGUCUUUUUCAAGGGGAGUUUUGUCUGGAUAUAUGCCCAAGAGUGGGAUUGCUGGGUCAUGAGUAUCUUGAAUUGACUUCAAUGAAGUUUGAUAUGGAAGUCUCUAAUACGAAGGGUUUAUUCGUUUACUUUUAUUUUUAUGAGAGUGAAUGAACCAAAAACUGUCAUUUAUUUUCUUCCACACACAGUAUAGCACCUUUUGGGCUCUAAUGGUUGGUUGUUGGUUUGCUUCAGUUUAUGUUGUGUAUCAACUGAUGGAAGAUGUGAAGUGGCUGUGGUAUGAAAACAGAGUGUAUGUAUUAGGUAGGUGAAUUUUAAAAAAAUACAUUGUUAUCGGUAAAGCUAAUAAGUACAGCCAGAGACCGUCUUUUGACAUAUGUUUCUCUCCAGCAUCCAGAUUUUCAUUUUGAACUAAGGAGAAGAGCUGUUUAAAAUGAUACUUUAUUUUCCGUAGUUGGUGAUCUCAGUUCAUUAGAUCUUACUGUAGACUAUUUCAGUAUGGCAUCCUUAGUUUUCUAUGCUAAUGAUCAAAGGAGCAAAAAAGUAUUUGCCCCUUUUGACUGCAUAUGCUUUUGAAAUUGUGAUUAAGCUCUUAACACACAUAAAUUGUAAUGAAAAAAUUUCUCUAAAAUGUGGCUCUUUCUUUUUCUUAAUGAGUUCAGUGUGAAAGGUGAGAAAUCCUAAAGAAAUGACUGUUGAAAACGUGACUUUUCAGAAACAGAGACUUGAUCUUCUUGUUUGAUAUUAUUUAAAAAAAAAAAAAACUUUUUUAGAGUGUUUGUUUUAAUUGGGAAAUAAUACAUAAUGGGAGAAUAAUCAGUUUUCUUCUAAAUUUUCAGUGCCAAAUUUCUCAUUCAGGUCCACCCACCCAAAACAAAAGCAAUCAAUUUUUUUUUCACUUGAAGAUUUUACGUUUUUAGCCCAUUUUUCUUUUUAUGCUAAAGUAUUUUCAAAGUAAAUCAUUGCUUUUAUGGUAUAUUUCCUUCAGUAAGCAUCUCUACAAAGCAGGAGCAUUUCCCUCUAUUGUUAAAUAACUCUUAAAUGAAAAAUAAAUAAUAGUUAUGUAAAAUCAUCUAUUAUCCAGGCCACAUUCAGAUUUUCUAAACAUCCUCGAUGGUUGAUUUUUAUAAAGUAGGACACAGUCCAGAAUCACAUUUUGCAUCUCUUGUGUCCUGUAAGUCUCUUUUAAUCCAUAGCAAGUCCCCCCCCCCCAUCACAGUGCUGUGCUGAAGAGACCAAGUUAGUUGUCCCAUAAUGUCAUACUUUUCUGGAUUUCUCUGAUUAUUCCUUUGUGGUAUAAUUUAACUUGUUUCUCUCCCCCACUAUAUUUUUUUUAUAAGCUAGAAAUUAGUUCUUUUUCUUUUUGGUCCCACCCACAGCAUGUGGAAGUUCCUGGGCCAGGGAUCGAGUCUGUGCCAGAGUUGUGACCUAUUGCACCACAGCUAUAACAACACCAGAUCCUUAACCCACUGCACCGGACCAGGGAUCAACUGGUGCCUCAACAGAGACAAGCCCAGAUUAUUAACCCACUGUGCCACAGCGGGAACUCCCUGGAAGUUAGUUCUUGAGGCUUGCUUAGAUACAAAUGAAACACGUGGUGGAAUACGUAAGAGGUGGCUUGCACUUUCAUUGGAUCACAACAGGAGAUACCACAGACUAUCUCGUUGUCCCUCUGUUAGCAAUACGGAAACUGAGCACUGUAUUGCAGGGAUGGCGCCCUGAUCCCUCCACUGUAAAAUUACAUUUUCCUAUUGUAACUAGAAAGCAAAAAUGAAUAGGUUUUGUAGCAGACUGGGACACAUGCUGAGGUUUAUUCCUGGCCAACACAACCAUGAUAAACAAUUGCCCUCCAGGACUCUGGGCCAGAAAACGGGUAGACCAGUAUAUAAUAGUCAUUUAUUAUUAUACAUCCUUAAUCAUUACAAAAGUCAGCCUAGGAUCGCACAUGGAAGGGAAAACUAGUCCUAAAUGCAUUUUUCACCCUUACUUCAUUGAAACAAACAAACAAAAGGUUUCCUGGUUCUGUUCUUAGCUCUAAGUCAUGGGUCUGCCGGGUUUUUCUCAUAACUUUUCAAGGUCAGCAUUGUAUUACCUUACAUUCUUCUGCUUUACAGGCUACAUCUUGGUAGUUGGAUGUCUCAGCUUUACUGUCUGUUACAAGCACGGGCCGCUUGUUGAGGAGAGGAGUGUCAGCCUCCUUGCGUGGACACUGCGUCUCCUCUCGCUGCUCCUGAUCUAUGCUGGUGUCACAGGGCCUCAGUUCGCCUACACAGCGAUGCUCCUCCUCCUGUCCGCCAGGAACCUGCGCCACCUGCUGCAGGCAUUCAGUUAUGUGAGGUGGGUUGAAUUGAGCAACCAAAUAUGGCCAGGAAUCUAGCAACCAAAUGCCACCUGUUUUAGGAAAAUGAAGAACUGGUUUACAUCAGAAAAGCUGGUGGUUAAGUAUCUUACUGAAGACGAAUACAGGGAACAGGCCGAUGCUGCAACAACCCAAGCUCUGGAGGAGCUGCGCCAGGCCUGCCGCAGCCCUGGCUUCCCAUCCUGGCUGGCCGUCUCCAGGCUCCAGGAGCCGAAAAAGUUUGCAGACUUUGUUCUUGGAGGAAGCCACUUGUCACCUGAAGAAAUUAGUCUGCAUGAAGAACAGUAUGGCCUUGGGGGUGCCUUCUUGGAAGAGCAGCUCUUUAACCUGAGGACUCCUGACAGUCUACCUGCACACUGAUAAUCAUUCUGGACAAGGAAGGGCAGAGAUCCUAUUAAAGGUGGGCAGAACCAUUCUAGAGAACAGUGGCAAGAGCAUUUGCUGUGGAGAAAAGUCAAAUCACGCUGGAAAGGAACUGUGUUAGAGAUAAUCCUUCUUGGCUACUUCUGCAAAUUGUACUGUAGGUGACCUACAAGAUUCUGUGAUGGUCACUACCACUUUCCUUGAAUGAAGAGUUUCAUUAGGAAGAAGGAAUUAUGUUGAUCUUUAAGGGGCCAAUUAAUAUUAAUAGGUGCCUUAUCAACUCCAGGGCAUUAAAUCCUCUCAUUUCCCAGGACCUGCGUCAGAAGAUUCUGCAUUGCUUUUCCUAUGUGUGAUCAAUGUAAGUGCUAGAAGAGACACGAGAUAAUGCUGGACCAGUGUUUUCCAAAGUGUAGUCCACAGGAUGGUAAUAAGCAUCAGUGGAUAAAGGGAUCCUGAGGUCAACUAAUACUGAUACAGGAUAAACAAAUGUACUGCAGGACUUCUCAGAGCCUUUAGUAAUGCUAAUGCACACUGCGAAUCUCCGAAGAGGAGAAACUGUGCUCAGCAGUGUCUGACUUACUUUGACCACAGAACCCUUUUUUCAUGAGAUUAAUAUUCCUUGGAACACAUGUUUGGGAACUGCUGAUGAUGGAGGAGGAGUUGAGCUUUGGGGAGGUUAACUAACUUCUCCGAGACCACAAAGCUUUUCAGAGGCAGCUCUAGUGCUAGAACUCCAGCCCUAUGGUUUUGUACCACUCAGGUAGAAGAGACCUUUAGAAGCAAGCCAAGGGGCCAUCUCUCCAUAGCCUUGGGUCUCACAAUGUUGGUAACUCUUUUAUUUUUAAUUUUUAAAUAAUAGCCAACUAGCUGUUUGAUAACUAUAAUAAAGAGAAACAUUUUCCUAAGAUUAUAUUUUAAAGUUUUGAUAAGACUUUUAUAGUCAUAUAUAAAGAUCAGAAAUUAGAAUUACUUCUCAUAGGGUUUUCUGUAUGUUGAAAUUGAAAGCAUUUAACCUCUUGUGACAUUUUAAAUUGAGUGGCCUAUCUUUUAAAAUUGUUUAUUAGUUAUAUAUGUUUAUAACAAUUUCCUACAAAACAGGUUUGUGAUCUUUCUUACAGAGAACAAAUCUUUUUUUCUUGAUUCCUAAUGUUAUAUUCAGAGUGAAAUGAGGGACUAACUGUGAGCUCUGACCCUGAGGAAAAGAAGCCAAAACAAGGCAUGAGAAAAGAUCUGAAAGUGGCAAAGCAACCUAAGGGUUGAGAAGUUGCUGGAUUGAUUCUCUGUAAGAAUCAGGUAUGGGCCCUUUUGCUGUGAGGUCAUAAAGAGUAGCCGCAUAAUGAAUGAGGACUAGAAGAAGGGUUAUGGAGGAGGAACAUACAGAUAAUUUCCUGCUUUCCUGAGCCAAAUUUAGUAGAGUUUUUCUAUGUUGUUGCAUAAGAGCGUGGCUGCCCAUUUGGAACUGUCAGAUUGAUUUUCAAAUAUUUCCUCUUUGAAGCAGUGUGUCAGUAUUUUACAGGUCUUUUUGCCAGACACCUUGUAAUGUCAAGAGCUUUGCUAUUUUUGUGAAAUGUACUCAGUUUAAUCUGCUUUCACAUAGACUUUGAUAUAAAAGUCAAGACAUUUUCCAUUUGGAUUUAGGAUGACGAUGACCGUUUUAGAAGUGUAAAUGGUUCUUAACGUCAUUUUUGUCACAGUUUAAUCAGUUCUUUUUUUUAUAAUUCUAUUUAUUGGUGCUUUAUUAUAAAUAUAUGAGACGAGUUUGUGGUUGUGCUCACUCUGUUCACCUCCCAGGAGGUGGUGUGUGUACUACCCCGUGUGUGUGUGUGUGUGUGUGUGUGUGUGGUGUGUACAGCCUGCUGGGGACAUCCCAGCCAAGACAGCCGCUAGGCCUACCUGCACCAGGGUGAAGAGGUGCCAGUGAUGGAAGGAAGCAGCUUCUGGUGGGCCAGCAAGCUGAUGUCACCAUGUUUACUGUUACAAAAUACCUAAAGAAAGAGAAAAAGAGCUAUGGUCUUUGGGGACAUUGUUUUUCAUGUUUUAGAGGAAGUCAUGGAUUUGUCUCUUUCUGUUAUGUGAGUCCUGUAAGAAGCUAAACAAUUAAAAGCAUUACUUGUGAUAUA